GAUGAACGCUGGCGGCGUGCCUAAUACAUGCAAGUCGAGCGAACAGAUGAGGAGCUUGCUCCUCUGACGUUAGCGGCGGACGGGUGAGUAACACGUGGAUAACCUACCUAUAAGACUGGGAUAACUUCGGGAAACCGGAGCUAAUACCGGAUAAUAUAUUGAACCGCAUGGUUCAAUAGUGAAAGACGGUUUUGCUGUCACUUAUAGAUGGAUCCGCGCCGCAUUAGCUAGUUGGUAAGGUAACGGCUUACCAAGGCAACGAUGCGUAGCCGACCUGAGUGGGUGAACGGCCCAACCAGAACUGAGACACGGUCCAGACUCCUACGGGAGGCAGCAGUAGGGAAUCUUCCGCAAAGGGCGAAAGCCUGACGGAGCAACGCCGCGUGAGUGAUGAAGGUCUUCGGAUCGUAAAACUCUGUUAUUAGGGAAGAACAAAUGUGUAAGUAACUAUGCACGUCUUGACGGUACCUAAUCAGAAAGCCACGGCUAACUACGUG
rnacentral:rRNA from 1 species